GAAGUUGUGGCUCAGUGGUAGAGCACUUGCCUAGCAUGCACAAGGCACUGGGUUCGAUCCUCAGCACCUCA
rnacentral:tRNA from 1 species